rnacentral:rRNA from 1 species
GAUGAACGCUGGCGGCGUGCCUAAUACAUGCAAGUCGAGCGAUGCGGGGACGGGUGAGUAACAAGUGGUAACCCUCCUUUAAGAACGGGAUAACUUUGGGAAACCGUAGCUAAACGGGAUAUUUAUAGAUGGCUCCGCGCUGCAUUAGCUAGUUGGUAAGGUAACGGUUUACUAAGGCAACGAUGCAUAGCCGACCUGAGAGGGUGAUCGGCCACACUGGAACUGAGACACGGUCCAGACUCCUACGGGAGGCAGCAGUAGGGAAUCUUCAGCAAUGGACGAAAGCCUGACGGAGCAACGCCGCGUGAGUGAUGAGGGUCUUCGGAUCGUAAAACUCUGUUGUUAGAGAAGCGGUACCUAAUCAGAAAGCCACGGCUAACUACGUGCCAGCAGCCGCGGUAAUAC